rnacentral:misc_RNA from 1 species
UGCCCCUCACUUCCCAAUACGUCUAGAUCAGCCAGGGCGUCGGCAUGUGUAGCGUAUUAUGUUGGGCUCUCUCGAGAUAAGGAUACGAUGUCCCUUUAUCGGUUGGUUUCCUGUGUGCGCGGCCCGUUCGUUUUUUUGUUACUUUCGCAUCGUUCGGUGCAUUCUGGGGGCUGUGUUGGAUUUUGGUGGCUUGCUUGGCCUUUUGGCUUUGCUUGUUGCUACUUGUCGGGCUGCUUUCGGGAAUGUCGACCGUGGAGGUGCAUGAGUGGUGUUUGGUUUGUUACGUGUGGAUGGCUGUUUGCUUGUGCAACAACGUUCACGCUGCAUACCUCUUCAGUUUUGCGGCAAGGCUUGGUUUGGCUUGUGCAUAUUGUGGGUUUCCUGUGUUGCAUACCUAGUUGAUGGGAAAGUGUGGGUUUUACGAUUUUCAUUUUCGUCUUGCGUCGUUCUUUCGGCGUGGGAUGAACAAUGAAGCGACCUUUAUGAUCCAUCGUGCUGUUGCGUUUGCAACAAUGAUGUGGCCUAUGAAGCAUCGUUUGGUCUCUUGUAUACGGAAGCUCAUUUGGGCUUGGGUCUUUAUAAGAUCUUCGUUACGCCCUUGUUAAGCGUUCUCGCUUCUCCUAAACGAUUG